rnacentral:rRNA from 1 species
GGCAGCAGUGAGGAAUAUUGGUCAAUGGACGAGAGUCUGAACCAGCCAAGUAGCGUGAAGGAUGAAGGUCCUACGGAUUGUAAACUUCUUUUAUAAGGGAAUAAACCCUUCCACGUGUGGGAGCUUGUAUGUACCUUAUGAAUAAGCAUCGGCUAACUCCGUGCCAGCAGCCGCGGUAAUACGGAGGAUGCGAGCGUUAUCCGGAUUUAUUGGGU